GUCCCUGUAGCGUAAUGGAUAGCGCGUUGGAAUUCUAAUCCAAAGGUAGUGGGUUCGAAUCCCACAUGGGAUG
rnacentral:tRNA from 1 species